rnacentral:rRNA from 1 species
UACGAAGGGUGCUAGCGUUGUUCGGAAUUACUGGGCGUAAAGCGCACGUAGGCGGCUACUCAAGUCAGAGGUGAAAGCCCGGGGCUCAACCCCGGAACUGCCUUUGAAACUAGGUAGCUAGAAUCUUGGAGAGGUCAGUGGAAUUCCGAGUGUAGAGGUGAAAUUCGUAGAUAUUCGGAAGAACACCAGUGGCGAAGGCGACUCACUGGACACGUAUUGACGCUGAGGUGCGAAAGCGUGGGGAGCAAACAGG